GACGAACUGUCCUAACGUUGUUCGGAAUCACUGGGCUUAAAGGGCGCGUAGGCGGUCCGCCAAGUCAGGGGUGAAAUCCUGCAGCUUAACUGUAGAAGUGCCUCUGAUACUGGCGGUCUUGAGGGAGAUAGGGGUGUGCGGAACUUCCAGUGGAGCGGUGAAAUGCGUUGAUAUUGGAAGGAACGCCGGAGGCGAAAGCGGCGCACUGGAUCUCUUCUGACGCUGAGGCGCGAAAGCUAGGGGAGCAAACGGG
rnacentral:rRNA from 1 species